GGGCGCGCGGCCCGGACCCCCGAGUCCGUGCUCUCCGACCCUCCUGUCACCCCGGGACACCGUGUGGGGGGCGCCCAGAGCCCCGGCCGCCGGGAGGAGGAGGAGGCGGCGCCCGGGGACUGGCCUAGCGCGGGUGCGGUCGGCGGGCGGGGCGGGAGGGCCCGACCCGUGGCUCUGCGGAUUUCAAAGGCGCGGGGUCACACGCCCAGCAGCCGAUCAGCCCCGGCAUUUGGCGACGCAGCAAAUCCAGCCCUGCGGGGAGGGGGCCCUGUCCCUGGGCCGGCCCCAUGCCCAGGCUGCAGGGCCUCGCCCGCCCCCAGCCGCAUCUCCCUGCCCCUGGCGCCUCCCAGGACCUGUGACAGUCCGGGGGGCUUGACCGGGGCUGCCCUGGCUUCAGCCUUCUCAUCUGCACAGUGGAAACUCAGGAAAACACCGCCUGUGUGAGCCUCCUGGAGCUGUGCAAUGAAUCACACACGUGCAGUGGCUUGAAACGACCCACAUCGAUUCUCUCACGGUUCUGGAGGUCAGAAACCCGACAUGGGGGCCUCACUGGGCUAACAUCAAGGUGUGCGCAGGGCUGGUCCCUCCUGGGGGCUCCAGGGGAGAAUCCAGUUCCUGCCUUUCCCAGCGUUUAGAGGCGCCCACAUCCUUCAGCUUGGGCCCCUUCCCACUCACAGCCAAGAGCAGCCUCUUCCGGUCUCUGACUCUCACCCGGCUGCCUCCUCUCAUGAGGACCCUGUGAGGACACUGGGCUCCCCGAUCAUCCAGGGUGAUCUCCCAUCUCAAAAUCCUAACCCAGUCCCACCUGCAGAGUGCCUUGCGCCUUGGAAGUUUCCCUGGCCAUGCCCUUCCCAGGAUGUGCACCCUGAAAAACACCCUGAAAAGGCCUUGUGGCCGGGCGCGGUGGCUCACGCCUGUAAUCCCAGCACUUUGGGAGGCUGAGGUGGGCGGAUUUUCUGAGGUGGAAGUUCAAGACCAGCCUGGCCAACAUGGUGAAACCCCGUCUCUACUAAAUAGUAAAUACAAAAAUUAGCCGGGGGUGGUGACAUGCACCUGUAAUCCCAGCUACUUGGGAAGUUGAGGCGGGACAAUUGCUUGAACCUGGGAGGCGGAGGUUGCAGUGAGCAGAGAUCCUGCCACUGCACUCCAGACUGGGCGAAAGAGCGAGACUCCAUCUCAAAAAAACACAAAAAAACAACAAAAAAACUAAGGCCUUGUUGGGAGACAGAUCAGCUGGGACCAGGGCACAGGGCACCAGGCUCCCAGUGGUUCUCUGAGAGUCAUCUGGGUGUCUUCUGGGCUCCACCCCCUGGUAAUAGGAGGAGGAGAGGACGCCAGGAGAUCAGCGGAGUGCUUUGUUCACGGUCACUGGGGCAGGGCGGUGGCCUUUGGCCAUCUCCUGGGCCAGCCCUGCCCCACACUUCCUUGGGGACUGUGCAGGGGCUGAACCCCAGGGAGGUGGGGCAUGCACGCUGCUCCUGAUGCCACUCCGUCAGAGCAGCGUGGAUGGCCCCAUGGCUGCCCCGGGCUCCUGGCCAGACACCCACAGCCCGGGCAGGUAGGCAGCCCCAGGCUCCAGGCCACACCUGCCCUGCCCACUCCCUGCCCCCACUGGAGGACCGCGGGCCCUGGCUGUGUCCCCAGGCAGGCCUGCCGAGCCACUGGAGUGGAGUGAGUGUGAGUCAGCCGGCAAGAAGGGACGCUUGCGGCCACUUACAUCAGAUAUUCCUGCCUCGUGGCCCCAUGGCCAGAGCUCUCAGCCCCGCAGGGGUCCUGAAAUGACCCUGCCCACGGCCCUUCAUAGCAAGGGAUGGCCCUUGGGCCGUGGUUCUGGUCCCUGGAGAGCCAAGCAGGUGGGAACUGUGAGGUGGUCUCUCGUGCCACCCACUACACUUGCAAGUGUGUACAGGCGUGCACAGCCCACCCCCACCUUUCACUCCCACAUGGGCCCAUGGCUGACCCUGCAAGGACCUAGGCUUGGGGCCUCCCCCAGGGACGCCUGCCUCCGCGGGCACACAGACACACGCCCCGAUCUGCUCACACUCGUACCCACACCAAGUUUUUUUUUUUUUAUGUUGUAGGGGAAAGGUCUUUAUUGUCACCGCCCCCCGCCCCCGUAGGGUUGUCUGAUAUAAUACGGACACCAAGCUAACUUUGAAUGGCAAAUAAACAGUGAAUAACUGGGCCUGGCGUGGUGAUCCCAGCAUUUUGGGAGGCUGAGGCGGGAGAAUCAUUUGAGGCCAGGAGUUCAAGACCAGCCUAGGCAACAUGUUGAGACCCCCCCAUCUCUACCGAAAAUAAAAUUAGCUGAGCGUUGCUGGGCGCGGUGGCUCACGCUUUGGGAGGUGGAGGUGGGUGGGUCACCUGAGCUCAGGAGUUCCAGACCAGCCUGGCCAACAGGGCAAAAGCCCGUCUCUACUAAAAAUACAAAAAUUAGCUUGUCGUGGUGGUGCGCGCCUGUAGUCCCAGGUCGUCAGGAGGCUGAAGCAUGAGGAUCUCCUGAACCUGGGAGGUGGAGGUUACCGUGAGCCGAGAUCGAGCCACUGCACUCCAGCCUGGCAACAGAGCGAGACUCCGUCUCAAAAC
rnacentral:lncRNA from 1 species